GAUGAACGCUGGCGGCGUGCCUAAUACAUGCAAGUCGAGCGAACGGACGAGAAGCUUGCUUCUCUGAUGUUAGCGGCGGACGGGUGAGUAACACGUGGAUAACCUACCUAUAAGACUGGGAUAACUUCGGGAAACCGUAGCUAAUACCGUAUAAUAUUUUGAACCGCAUGGUUCAAAAGUAAAAGACGGUCUUGCUGUCACUUAUAGAUGGAUCCGCGCUGCAUUAGCUAGUUGGUAAGGUAACGGCUUACCAAGGCAACGAUGCAUAGCCGACAGGAGAGGGUGGUCGGCCACCCUGGAACGGAGACACGGUCCAGACUCCUACGGGAGGCAGCCGUACGCAAUCUUGCGCCAUGGGCGAAAGCCUGACGGAGCAACGCCGCGUGAGUGAUGCAGGUCUUCGGAUCGUAAAACUCUGUUAUUAGGGAAGAACAUAUGUGUAAGUAACUGUGCACAUCUUGACGGUACCUAAUCAGAAAGCCACGGCUAACUACGUG
rnacentral:rRNA from 1 species